rnacentral:rRNA from 1 species
GACGAACGCUGGCGGCGCGCCUAACACAUGCAAGUCGAACGAGAGAUGAGGAGCUUGCUCUUCAAAUCGAGUGGCGAACGGGUGAGUAACGCGUGAGGAACCUGCCUCAAAGAGGGGGACAACAGUUGGAAACGACUGCUAAUACCGCAUAAGCCCACGGCUCGGCAUCGAGCAGAGGGAAAAGGAGCAAUCCGCUUUGAGAUGGCCUCGCGUCCGAUUAGCUAGUUGGUGAGGUAACGGCCCACCAAGGCGACGAUCGGUAGCCGGACUGAGAGGUUGAACGGCCACAUUGGGACUGAGACACGGCCCAGACUCCUACGGGAGGCAGCAGUGGGGAAUAUUGCACAAUGGGGGAAACCCUGAUGCAGCGACGCCGCGUGGAGGAAGAAGGUCUUCGGAUUGUAAACACCUGUUGUUGAGGAAGAUAAUGACGGUACUCAACAAGGAAGUGACGGCUAACUACGUGCCAGCAGCCGCGGUAAAACGUAGGUCACAAGCGUUGUCCGGAAUUACUGGGUGUAAAGGGAGCGCAGGCGGGAGAACAAGUUGGAAGUGAAAUCCAUGGGCUCAACCCAUGAACUGCUUUCAAAACUGUUUUUCUUGAGUAGUGCAGAGGUAGGCGGAAUUCCCGGUGUAGCGGUGGAAUGCGUAGAUAUCGGGAGGAACACCAGUGGCGAAGGCGGCCUACUGGGCACCAACUGACGCUGAGGCUCGAAAGUGUGGGUAGCAAACAGGAUUAGAUACCCUGGUAGUCCACACCGUAAACGAUGAUUACUAGGUGUUGGAGGAUUGACCCCUUCAGUGCCGCAGUUAACACAAUAAGUAAUCCACCUGGGGAGUACGACCGCAAGGUUGAAACUCAAAGGAAUUGACGGGGGCCCGCACAAGCAGUGGAGUAUGUGGUUUAAUUCGACGCAACGCGAAGAACCUUACCAAGUCUUGACAUCCUGCGACGCACAUAGAAAUAUGUGUUUCCUUCGGGACGCAGAGACAGGUGGUGCAUGGUUGUCGUCAGCUCGUGUCGUGAGAUGUUGGGUUAAGUCCCGCAACGAGCGCAACCCUUAUGGUCAGUUACUACGCAAGAGGACUCUGGCCAGACUGCCGUUGACAAAACGGAGGAAGGUGGGGAGGACGUCAAAUCAUCAUGCCCUUUAUGACUUGGGCUACACACGUACUACAAUGGCGUUAAACAAAGAGAAGCAAGACCGCGAGGUGGAGCAAAACUCAGAAACAACGUCCCAGUUCGGACUGCAGGCUGCAACUCGCCUGCACGAAGUCGGAAUUGCUAGUAAUCGUGGAUCAGCAUGCCACGGUGAAUACGAUCCCGGGCCUUGCACU